rnacentral:lncRNA from 1 species
UGGAGGAAUAUGGUAUCGUGCUAGGGUUAAUACCUUCUCUAGACUUAUGAAGAAGAGAGAAAAGGAGAUGGGGACAGCAGUUUGGAGAGAAACUUAGGUAUUGGCUUGAUGGAAAGAGAGAAAGCGAAGAGCUUUGAUGGAGGAGAGAAGGAGAAAGAGAGAGGAAAGAAGAUGAAGAACCCCACAAGGGGGCUGAUGCAUUGAGAAAGGAGGGUUGGGGUAUA